rnacentral:rRNA from 1 species
UACGUAGGGUGCAAGCGUUGUCCGGAAUCACUGGGCGUAAAGGGCGCGUAGGCGGCCCGAUAAGUAGGGGGUGAAAUCCUGCGGCUUAACCGCAGGGCUGCCUUCUAAACUGUCAGGCUAGAGCACAGUAGAGGCAGGUGGAAUUCCCGGUGUAGCGGUGGAAUGCGUAGAGAUCGGGAAGAACAUCAGUGGCGAAGGCGGCCUGCUGGGCUGUUGCUGACGCUGAGGCGCGACAGCGUGGGGAGCAAACAGG